rnacentral:rRNA from 1 species
ACCAUCAAGCGUCAAAUUUUUAUUCAAUUCAUCGACAGUGUACAACAUGAAUUACAUAACCCUGCUCAUGAAAAUCAAGAAAGGAUUGCAGAACAGGGCAAGAAGCUUCAGUAUGAGCAGAAUGAGUACAACUAGAAAUAUGUUCUACUCUCGAGUUGAGAACCUCAUGAGCAUAAUUGUGAGCAAUUUCAUUGUUGUUUCUGAAGAUGUGGAAGACAACAGUAAGAAUGUGAGAAGUGGCUUGUAGGAAAGUGUUAAUCGGUUGUGUGCAUCUCCAGGUGAUGUUCAUUGAUGUCUCUUGAGGCGGUCAUCUUUGCCAAGGAGGGGUUAUCCAUGAAGAAUGGAACCUGCUUGAAUUGAAGCCUGCAAGCAAUCUUAGCAGCAAACUGGAGACCAGAAGCUUCAACAAUGAGCGAUGAUCGGAUCGGGUUAGUAGAUGCUUGAAUCAUGAUUUCUCGAUUUGACUGGGUUCAGGAAUUUGGAUGUGUACUCCAAUGCCAGUUUCUGGACAAUUUCUCCUAUCUGGGAUAUUUCCCUUUUGCCAAGAAGCAUCAGAGAAUAUCUUGGUACCUGCAAUUGCUAAAUUUGAGCCUUGUUGAAUAUAUUUCGGCCCUGAGAGAGAAUAGCAGAAGAAUCCUUCGGGGAAGGAUCAGCUGGACUACUUGGUUGGUCUUGCUCCUGAUGAUGCAUGCCUUGAGCCGAAAGUAUAGCAUACGCUGCCUGAAGAACUUGAUGGGGGCGAGAGUCUUUCCUGUUUUUUCAAAGACACCACAGAAAAGUGAGUCUUUCCUGUCUUUUCAAAGACACCACAGAAAAGUGAAAAUGUUAGGUAUAGAGGCAUGCGAGGUGCCCGUUUUUGUGAAGGGAAGUCACCCUGACUUCGCUUCUUAGUGCGCGCGAACCUAUGCUAUUUAUUCUGCUUCUCUCCUUUGUUGUAGCGGCGCGUGCUCCUGGCUUUGCACUCUCCGGGGGGCGGGACAACUGACCAGUGCGAAACCGUCGGCGAGGUGCGCGCGGCGAGGAUGGCUGAGAAGAAGCCGAGGAUUGUCAUAGUGGGUGCGGGCAUAGCCGGACUCUCGGCGGCGCAGCAGCUAUGCGGCGCGGGCCGGGACAAGUUCGAGGUGGUGGUGGUGGAGGCUGGCUGCCGCGCUGGCGGCCGAGUAUACACGUCCGAGUUCGCCGGCCAUCGUCUCGAGAUGGGCGCUACGUGGGUGCAGGGCAUCGUCGGGAGUCCCGUGUACGCGAUGGCGCGGGAAGCAGGCGCGCUCCGGGAGGAGGCCGCAGACCUCCCGUACGAGCGCAUGGACGGGUUCCCUGACAGCGUCCUGACUGUCGCCGAGGGAGGCGACGUCGUCGACGCGGACACGGUGGCCAAGCCGAUCGAGGACCUGUACAGGGGCAUGAUGAAGGCCGCCCGUGCCGGUGAGGCUGUCGGCGGAGGGGGAGUGGAGGAAUACCUGCGCCGGGGGCUGCGAGCGUACCAGGCGGCGCGCCCGGUCGGUAGCAAGGAGCUGGAGGAGAUCGAGGAGGCUCUGCUUUCCAUGCACAUCAACCGGGAGCGCACGGACACCUCCGCCGAUGAUCUCGGCGACCUGGACCUCGCGGCCGAGGGCGAGUACCGCGACUUCCCCGGCGACCACGUCACGAUCCCCAGCGGAUACACCCGCGUGGUCGAGCACCUCGUCGCCGCGCUCCCCGCCCGGUACUGUCCGCCUCGGCCUCGGCCUCCGUCGUCUCGAGUGGGGCGAAAUCCCAGUGCGCCUCCACUUCGGCGAUGAGGCGACGACGACGCUCACCGCUGACCAUGUCAUCCUCACAGUCUCGCUGGGCGUCCUCAAGGCGAGCAUCGACGAGGACGUGUCCGCUACGGGCGCAAUCGCCUUCGACCCGCCGCUCCCAGAGUUCAAGCGUGAGGCCGUCGCGCGGCUGGGAUUCGGUGUCGUGGACAAGCUGUUCGUCGAGGUGGAGGCCGUGGAGACGCCGGAGCUGGACGGCGGCGACGAGCAGCUAGCCAGUGCGGCCCCGCCGGCUUUCCCGUUCCUGCACAUGGCGUUCCUCGGAGACGCGGCGAAGAUCCCGUGGUGGAUGCGCGGCACCGAGUCAGUCCGCCCCGUCCACGCGGGCUCCACCGUGGCGCUCGCAUGGUUCGCCGGGCGGGAGGCCACGCACCUCGAGUCGCUCCCCGACGACGAGGUCAUCCACGCGCUCCACUCCACGCUGGAAUCAUUCCUCCCGGCCCCACCUCGCCGCUGCAGCGGGGCAGCCGCGGGGGCGACCCCACGGUGGAGGGUGAAGAGAAUCAAGAGGAGCGGGUGGGCGACGGACCCGCUGUUCCUCGGGUCCUACAGCUACGUCGCCGUCGGGUCAAGCGGCGAGGAUCUCGAUCGGAUGGCAGAGCCGCUCCCAAGCGGGCCGGAGGCCGGUGGGACGCCGCUGAGCGUGCUGUUCGCCGGCGAGGCGACGCACCGGACGCACUGCUCGACGACGCACGCGGCCUACCUGAGCGGCGUACGGGAGGCCGACCGGCUGCUGCAGCACUACCGCUGAGAUUUGUUUUGGAUUUUUCCCUAGACGGCGACCCGCGAUCGACUCGAUCGAGCCCUGUACCCGUGGAAGGUAGCUAGGCAGGCUUUAAUUGGGCAUUAGAGAGGGGCCCACCUGAAAAUCAGGGGUGAAUGUUUAGAGCAUGGUUAAUAAUAUAGCCAGCUGCUGGCUAUAAGUCAGUGUCAUGUCAUCUACGGCCCAUCUUAUAGCCAACAUGUCAUCUACAGUCC